rnacentral:rRNA from 1 species
GAGUCGUUGAUUUCACACUGCCGAGAAAAGCCUCUAGAUAGAAAAUAGGUGCCCGUACCGCAAACCGACACAGGUAGUCAAGAUGAGAAUUCUAAGGUGAGCGAGCGAACUCUCGUUAAGGAACUCGGCAAAAUGACCCCGUAACUUCGGGAGAAGGGGUGCUCUUUAGGGUUAACGCCCAGAAGAGCCGCAGUGAAUAGGCCCAAGCGACUGUUUAUCAAAAACACAGGUCUCUGCUAAACCGUAAGGUGAUGUAUAGGGGCUGACGCCUGCCCGGUGCUGGAAGGUUAAGAGGAGUGGUUAGCUUCUGCGAAGCUACGAAUCGAAGCCCCAGUAAACGGCGGCCGUAACUAUAACGGUCCUAAGGUAGCGAAAUUCCUUGUCGGGUAAGUUCCGACCCGCACGAAAGGCGUAACGAUUUGGGCACUGUCUCAACGAGAGACUCGGUGAAAUCAUAGUACCUGUGAAGAUGCAGGUUACCCGCGACAGGACGGAAAGACCCCGUGGAGCUUUACUGUAGCCUGAUAUUGAAAUUCGGCACAGCUUGUACAGGAUAGGUAGGAGCCUUUGAAACGUGAGCGCUAGCUUACGUGGAGGCGCUGGUGGGAUACUACCCUAGCUGUGUUGGCUUUCUAACCCGCACCACUUAUCGUGGUGGGAGACAGUGUCAGGCGGGCAGUUUGACUGGGGCGGUCGCCUCCUAAAAGGUAACGGAGGCGCUCAAAGGUUCCCUCAGAAUGGUUGGAAAUCAUUCAUAGAGUGUAAAGGCAUAAGGGAGCUUGACUGCGAGACCUACAAGUCGAGCAGGGUCGAAAGACGGACUUAGUGAUCCGGUGGUUCCGCAUGGAAGGGCCAUCGCUCAACGGAUAAAAGCUACCCCGGGGAUAACAGGCUUAUCUCCCCCAAGAGUUCACAUCGACGGGGAGGUUUGGCACCUCGAUGUCGGCUC